AGAGAGAGAGAGAGAGAGAGAGAGAGAGAGAGAGAGAGAGAGAGAGAGAGAUAUGAAGAUGAUUUUGUAUUCAUUUUUUCUUCUUGCCAUGAAACUGAUCGAGGAAGAAGGGGAUGUGAGGAAUGAGAAAUGGGGCUUGGGUACUACUUUUGGGUGUUUUUUUUCUUCUUCUUUUGGUUACCAAGUUUUCCGUUAGUUGAGUUUUGAAAUGUUAGUUAGGUUAGUUAGUGAAUUAAAUGGUAACUGGCUAUUUCGGGUUAUGUUCAUAGAAACCAAGUGGAAUGUGUUGAUUGAAUGACUUGAUGAACCUAAUGCAGGUUAUGUGGUUUGAGCAAAAUGUAGGCUGAUGCAGGUGACUUGCAAAUUGUGGUUGUGACUCAGUUAUCUGCAGGUCAUGGAAUUGUUAGAUGCAUUGCAAGAUGAUGACCUGCAGGAUAAUGCUUCAGAUCAUGUUUCAAUUAUUGGAAGAUUGUGGAUUUGUUGACUUGCUAUAGGCUAUGGAAUUGUUGGCUAAAGAUCCAUCAUAAAGACAUGCUAGUGCAAUUUAUCUGCAAGGCUUGUGGAAUUAGACAUGGUUUCAAGGCAAGUUUCAAGGCAUGUCCAAAACCAAUUUUGGUGUAAAAAUGAAGUUUCUUAUUCAUGAAGCAAGUGACCAUGGAAUCUCAUGGAAGAAUGCAAAAGUGAAUAUGCAAUGCACAUUAGGGUUUAGGGGAUGAAAAAAUAGGUUAGUUGACCAAAAAGUCAACAGUUGACCAAAAGUCAACUUUUGUAAAAAUUUCAUUUUUUGUAUUUUCUUUUGUAAUAGACAAUAUAAAUGUUGUAUGAAUGAAUGAAUGGACCUUUAUUUUGAA